GUUGAUGUAUUUAUCAUAUUUUCCCAGUUGAUUUUAGAUUUUUUGGUUCUUAGUGUAAUGAAUACUUUUCUAUUAAAUCCAGGACUGGUUAUGUAUUAUAUUAUAAGACUCUAGUAGAACUUAUUUGAAAUUAUUUUAUAACAAUACCAUUCUGUUUCCUUGACUGUGGCCUUGAAGUGUAAUUUGAAGUCAGAUAAUGUGAUGCUUCAACGUUUGUUCUUUUUGCUUAGUCUUUGACUAUGCAGGCUCUCUUUUGAUUACACAUGAAUUUUAGGACUGUUUUUUCUAGUUAUAUGAAGAAUGAUGGUGGUAUUUUGAUGGAAACUGCAUUGAAUUUAUAGAUUGCUUUUGCAGUACGGUCAUUUUCACAAUGUUAAUUCUACUCAUUCGUGAGCAUGGGAUGAGUCUCCAUUUGUUUAUGUCACCUAUGAUUUCUUGCAGCAGUGUUUUAUAGUUUUGGUUGUAGCAGUCUUUCACCUCCUUAAUUUUGUAUCUUGAAACUUUGCAGAAUUCAUUUACCAGUUCUUGGAGCUUUCUGGAUGCGUUUUUAGGGUUUUCUAGGUGCGUAAUCAUAUUAUCAACAAACAGUGACAGUUUGACUUCCCCUUUACUAAUUUGAAUGCCCUUUAUUCUUUCUCAUGUCUGAUUGCUUUGGCUAGGACUUCCAGUGCUGUGUUGCAUAGAAGUGGUGAAAGUGAUCAUCGCUGUUUUGUGCCAGUUCUCAGGGGGAAUGCGUUCAACCAUUCCCGAUUCAGUAUAAUGUUGGGCUGCGGGCUUGUCAUAGACGACUUUUAUUACUUUGAGGAAGAGGAAAUUAGGGCAAAGACACCCAUAGAGGGAGGAGCAUGAAAGACAUGGGGAAAAGAUGACCAUCUACAAGCCAAGAAGGCAGCCCUCAGAAGAAACAAUCCUGCCAACACAUUAAUCUCAGAGACACAGCUUGGGUAACUGUGAAAAAUUAAAUUUCUGUUGUUUAAGUCACUCAGUCUGUGGUGCUUUGUUAUGACAGCUCAAGCAAAUAAAUACACGUGGUAAAUGAAUAAAGAUUUGAUUGUGUUUUUUGGUUUGGCUCGCCCCAAUUACCACCUCAAUACCUGGUAGCUAAAUUCCUUUUGUCUUAAUUGUAUAAAUAAUUUCUUGGGAAGAG
rnacentral:lncRNA from 1 species